CAGUCGCCGCGGUAAUACGAAGGGGGCUAGCGUUGCUCGGAAUUACUGGGCGUAAGGGGCGCGUAGGCGGACAGUUCAGUCGGGGGUGAAAGCCCGGGGCUCAACCUCGGAAUUGCCUUCGAUACUGGCUGUCUUGAGUAUGAGAGAGGUGUGUGGAACUCCGAGUGUAGAGGUGAAAUUCGUAGAUAUUCGGAAGAACACCAGUGGCGAAGGCGACACACUGGCUCAUUACUGACGCUGAGGCGCGAAAGCGUGGGGAGCAAACAGGAUUAGAUACCCCAGUAGUCCCUGUCUCUUAUAC
rnacentral:rRNA from 1 species